rnacentral:rRNA from 1 species
UAAUACGGAGGAUGCGAGCGUUAUCCGGAUUUAUUGGGUUUAAAGGGUGCGUAGGCGGCACCGUAAGUUAGUGGUCAAAUGUACAGGCUCAACCUGUACUUGCCAUUAAAACUGCGGAGCUCGAGUACAGACGAGGUAGGCGGAAUAAGUUAAGUAGCGGUGAAAUGCAUAGAUAUAACUUAGAACUCCGAUAGCGAAGGCAGCUUACCAGACUGUAACUGACGCUGAUGCACGAGAGCGUGGGUAGCGAACAGG